UAGCAUGUGUGUUGUACCUCAUCAAUCUCUAGCUGUGAGAGCAAUCCCUUCUUCUGAAUGUUGGAACAUAUAUAUAUAUAUAUGUAUAUACAUAUAUACACAUAUAUAAGAUAUAUAAAGCCUAUAAAGCAUGAAGUGCCUGUGUCAUCCAGGGAAGGACUGACUCUAUUGAAAGUUUUGUUUGGUAUGUUUACUGUGUUUUAGUGUGGAGUGUCUUUAUUUAUAUUUUUUGUAUUGCAUGUUUUGGUUACAGUUUAAAAGGGAUAGGCCAAAUAAGAAGAUGGAGGAUAGACUGUUGGAGCCAAAGCCAAGGACCACUGAGCAGAUGGGUAUGGACAGUGUGCGCAGGUAUGAGUGUUUGGCCACAAGAAGAGUGAAUAAGGAAUGUCCAACCUAGGUUAUCAUGGGAGGUCAGCUGCAGGGUUGCGGGACGUGGGGUAAUGGUUUGCUGCUAGGCAGCAGUGCUUGGGAUUAAGCACGAACCCAGGUUAGGCCUGGAAGUAUCCCCACAGUAGCAGCUAGGUGCAGUUUAGGACCUAAUGGCUUCCGGGUAGCUAUGCUAUUGGAACGUGAAAUGGAUUAUUUUGUGGCAUGGGACAGAAGGGCGCAUAUCAUUAUACUUCUGCUCAGGUUUAAUAGAACAGAAAUUGGGACUCCAAUAAGUCUGCAGAAUGUCGCUGAUACUACCAGAAUUAUGGGACUGGAAGCUGUGCCGUAGCAGGGACUGCUAACGUUUUAGUGUGGGGGGACGUCAUCCAGGGAAGGACUGACUCUAUUGGAAGUUUUGUUUUGUAUGUUUAUUGUGUUUUAGUGUGGAGUGUCUUUAUUUAUAUGUUUUGUAUUGCAUGUUUUGGUUAUAUUUUUGUGGAGUGUUUUAUUUAUGUUGCAUGUUUUAUUGAAUAUAUUAACUUCCCCUGGAGAGACUCCGCCCACUUCUAAUCACAAAUCAGAUACACCUGGGAAAGCACAGAGGUGGAUAAGAGAGCCUGCCAGACUGCUGGGAAAGAGGCUCGAGGAGGCCUGUGAGACAGAGCGGCAGAGAUGGCUCAGUGAAUGGGGUCAGGCGGCGGCGCCUGCAAGCCCGUAGACGGGCUGGUGUAGGUUGGCGGCGGUGAGUUACAGACAGUGCUGAGUGACACAUACACACUGGUGGAGCUUGGCGUCAAGCGGGCAGCAGGAUACGACGCCAGAUCACGCUUCUGUGGGGAAUUAGAGGUGGCGAGAGAGUGCUCUACCUCCGCGGCGAGACGGGCCGGUGCCGAUUGGCGUGUUCAAGGAAGCGGCGGGCAGAGUUGAGAGCUCUGCCCACCCGGGGUAAGUCUUCUGACUUAUCCCACUCUAACAAACGGCACCCGCUAAAAGAGUAGUGACUGUCGCUGCCCUUUUUUGUUUUGUUUAGCAUGCCGGAGCAGAGAAUACGGAUAGGACGGCGAGGACGCCGCCGGGUUUCCCCCUUCUGCACCGCUUCACUGAAUUUUUAAUUCUUAGUGACUUUUAUACCGUGGCGGUCGCCACUGGACUUUUAAUGUUGUGUUUUAUUGAUUUUUAUUGUGUUGUCCCCUGGCCAGGGCUGUUUUAAUUCCUUUUAUAUUUUUAACUGUUUAAAUAUAAUAAAUUAUAUUUUAGAAAUACAGUUUUUAAUUUAGUGCAUUCCCUUGGCUGCUCCACUGCUCUGUCCGUUUUGAGGAAGGUUUCCCUCCUUUUAAUAACACUUGUGCUAAAAUCACCUUCCCUCCGUUACACCUGUAUGGUUUCUCAUUUCAGGAUUUAAGGCCAGGUUCUUACCUUCCAGUUAGAGAAGACACAGAAGCUGAGAGCAGUGAUUGGCGAGUGUCUGGCCCAAAGCAACUGCUCUCUGCUCACCAGAGUGCGAGUGCAUGUGUGUGGGCGCUGUGAAUCCCCCCCAUCACCCCCCUUUUUUAAGUAGGCAGGGAAGAGCUAAUUAGCCAAUGAUUGCUACAUGACAGUUAGAACACACCUAUACUGGAAAAACUGAAACUAUGAUACGUUGGAAACCAAUUGUCAGUAUUCCCAUGGUGGAAAAACUGAAUAUAUGAUGUGAUGUUAUAGCCUGGGUCUAAGGACCCAGGGCUCAUGUAUUUUUUGUAUAUGUUUAUUUUUCCGUAUGUUUUGUUUUGGUGGUUUUCUCUCCUUUUUUCCUCCUUCUUCCUGUGUGUGUGGUCCAGCGUUUGGGUCCUCAACUCCACGGUCUGCCAUCGUUGACCGUGACAGUGAUAACAACUAUGACUAGAAGCCUGGAGUCAGUCUUAGGUGGACAUCAGCAUCGAGCUCAUACAGUAGGGGUGUUCAGAGUGGAUCAGCACAGCAAACUCCUUCCUCCUGUGAUGCCAGCUCACAGUGCGGUGAUGCAACAGGAUCCUCGUCAGUUGAGCGAGGCUAGUAUUGCUGCCCCUCCUCGACCGCCACCUCCCAACCUGAAAGUGCUUAGAAAAGGCCAAAGGACACCACGAUUAACCAAGGCCAGGGCAACGUGUUGCCCUAGCAAAUGGUUCCCUCCGUUCUAGAACAGACACAACCCCAGCCUCAGCAGGUUGUCGGGGGUGCCAGCCUCGCCAAAAUGGCCCAGCGGGCACGCUCUACCCCACAGCUGGAUGAGUACUCAGACAGCAGGAGAGAGAUCAGGAGCGAAUAAGAGAACAGGACAAAGUGCCUCAGAACACAAGAGAGGGUCUCAUUGCACACGUUAUGGAGGCGGUACAUGGCGCGACCAUGGAGGAGGUUCAUAAAGCACUACAAUGAAAUGACUGGAACCCAGUGCGAGCUGAACAGCAACUAAAGGUCAG